rnacentral:pre_miRNA from 1 species
UUUAUACUCCCUUCGUCCCAAAAUUCUCGUCUUUGUUUUGUCUAGAUAUGAAUGUAUCUAGUCAUGUGUUAGUAUUUAGAUACAUCCACUUCUAGACAAACGUAUGACAAGAAUUUUGGGACAGAGAAAGUACUAA